rnacentral:rRNA from 1 species
GACGAACGCUGGCGGCGUGCCUAAUACAUGCAAGUAGAACGCUGAAGGAGGAGCUUGCUCUUCUGGAUGAGUUGCGAACGGGUGAGUAACGCGUAGGUAACCUGCCUGGUAGCGGGGGAUAACUAUUGGAAACGAUAGCUAAUACCGCAUAACAGUAGAUGUUGCAUGACAUUUACUUAAAAGGUGCAAUUGCCUCACUACCAGAUGGACCUGCGUUGUAUUAGCUAGUUGGGGGGGUAACGGCUCACCAAGGGGACGAUACAUCGCCGACCUGAGAGGGGGAUCGGCCGCAGUGGGACUGAGACACGGCCCAGACUCCUACGGGAGGCAGCAGUAGGGAAACUUCGGCAAUGGACGGAAGUCUUACCGAGCAACGCCGCGUGAGAGAAGAAGGUUUUCGGGUCGUAAAGCUCUGUUGUAAGAGAAGAACGAGUGUGGGAGUGGAAAGUUCACUCUGUGACGGUAUCUUACCAGAAAGGGACGGCUAACUACGUG